rnacentral:rRNA from 1 species
CCUACGGGGUGCAGCAGUGGGGAAUAUUGGACAAUGGGCGAAAGCCUGAUCCAGCCAUGCCGCGUGUGUGAAGAAGGCCUUCGGGUUGUAAAGCACUUUCAGUGGGGAAGAAAGCCUUGGGGCUAAUACCCUCGAGGAAGGACAUCACCCACAGAAGAAGCACCGGCUAACUCCGUGCCAGCAGCCGCGGUAAUACGGAGGGUGCGAGCGUUUAUCGGAAUUACUGGGCGUAAAGCGCGCGUAGGCGGUCUGAUAAGCCGGUUGUGAAAGCCCCGGGCUCAACCUGGGAACGGCAUCCGGAACUGUCAGGCUAGAGUGCAGGAGAGGAAGGUAGAAUUCCCGGUGUAGCGGUGAAAUGCGUAGAGAUCGGGAGGAAUACCAGUGGCGAAGGCGGCCUUCUGGACUGACACUGACGCUGAGGUGCGAAAGCGUGGGUAGCAAACAGGAUUAGAUACCCCAGUAGUC